UUGCGGGUAUGAUGCCAGGUGAGAUAAGUCAGACAGAGAAAAACAAAUACUGGAUGAUCUCACUUGUACACAGAAUCUAAAAACCUGAACUCAUGGAAUCAGAGAAUAGAUUGGUGAUUCUCGAGAGAUUGCAGGUGGGGGAAAUGGGUGUAGGUUAAAAGGCACAAACUUCCAGUUAUAAGAUAAGUAAGUUCUGGGGAUGUAAUGGAGAACGUGGCAACUAUAGCUAACAAUACUGUUUCGUAUGCUUGAGAGUUGCUGAGAGAGUAGAUCUUACAAGUUCCUACCACACGCGCACACAAAGGGUAACUAUGUAAGGUACUGGAUGUGCUAAGUAACCUAACUGUGGUGAUCAUUUUGCAGUAUGGACAUAAACCAAAUCAGCACUUUGUGCACCUGAAACUCACACUGUGUUCUAUGUCAGUUAUACCUCACUGAAUCUGGGGGUGGGGGAAGAAAAGGGGCAGUCUCUUCAAGCUGUUUAAUUAUGUGCAAGAUCUCACCUCGCCUUGUGAGGCAGGUGGCGUAAAGUGAUACAUUUCUGUUACUCUAAGCCCCCAGAUCUGUGGUGGUUUGCUGCGGCAGCCACAGGACCCUCAUGUGAUUUCCUAUCGCGGAUGAGGAAAUUGAGAGUAACUCACAAAGCUUACUCAACUUGCUCAGCCCGUGUAGAUUGGUCAGAACAGGCUAAGCUCUGCCGUGGUACCCGUCGACCCCUAGAGCUCUUGGACAAGUACUCAUUCUUACUCACGGAAGACUGGCUCUGCAUCUCAGCGACCCUCCAGGGCUGCUCUUCUCCAUGUGGUGACUCAGUGACCAGGCAAAUUGGAUCCUAAGGCUUGUUUUUUUUUUUUUUUUUUUUAAUCCCCACAUGAAGCUCCGUCUGUGGCCAUGGAAGGAAAGGGGGCAGCUAGAGAAUUGCCUGUGUGCUUCUCACUGCUUUAGUCUGAAGGUUACUUCUGACAUUUCCAGUCGCAAGUCGCUGGCCGGACUGGUCACGUGACCCUGCCUCACGGCAGGGGGGCUGCAGAAUAUAAGGAAACAAAUGGAAUAUCUGAGCCUGGGCUUUGGGACUCGUGGGUCUGGAUGUGACCUUGGUUCUGCUGCUGAAUAAACGGGGUGACCUUGGCCAGACCAGCAACCUUCUCGGAGCCUCCGUUUUCUCUUCUGUAAAAUGGUAACCCGAAGGGUUACUGUGACGAUUAACUGAGACUGCUUAUGAAAAGAGCUCGGCACAUAGUAGGUGCUCAUUAAAAGGUAGCUUUUCCUGACUGUUGUGUCAGCUUGGGCCCCUUUGGGCUCUCGGCUCUUAAAUCAUGAGUCCUGUAUUCCUGACUCCCGCCAGAUGGGGGCAGUCACGGCUUUGUUAUUCCGUACACGCUCAAGGAGGGCCUCUUCCAGCGUCAGGCUGACUUGCCACCAGAGGGCUUUGUCACCUCUCUUAAAAGCAUCUUCCGGUGGACAGGGUGCUGGACAAUAGGCAAACCCAUCAGAUUCUAAUUUGUUUCUCAAUCGAUUGUUUCCUCAUCUAAAAUGAGGGGCUAAGCAGCCCAUCACUCUAAGCUCCGUAUGGCUGAGACCAGCACUCACGACGCUGGGUCCCAGUCCUCUAGGGAGAACGUGCCCGGGCACACAGGUGAGCCCCUGCUGUGCACUCCAUGUGAAAGGGGAGUCUCCUGGUGGCGGUGCCGUGCUAGAGCUGCAGAGCCAACGAUGUGUACUCAGCCCAUUCAUCUGCCUUCUGCCGCAGGAGCCCCCACAGAUGCCGAAGGUGCAGGGAAUGACUCAGCUCCAGCUUUUGGAGACACACGUCCGUCGCAAGGUAGAACUCGUUCUCCUGCUUCGUGCUGCCUCACUGCCUCCUCUACAGCCUCCAUACUUCUCCCAGAGGGGACCUUCUAGAAAACGAAAUCGUGUCUCUCCCCGCGCUCCCAUCGCCCUCUGGAUAAAGUCUAGCCACUUGAUCCUGACUGAGGGGGGCCACACAACGCACUUCCUGCUCCCCUCCAGCAUUGCCUCUCACCUCUGCCCCUUACUCGUGUGCCUCAGGAACCAAGGAACCAAGGGGCCCUGUUCUUUCAGACCUCUGGGCCACCGUCUGGAAUGCUUUCUCUCUCUCUGCUUGAUCUGGUGAACUCCUAGUCAUUCAGCGAGGCCCAACUUAAAAGGCACUUCCUCUCAGAAGCCUGCCCUGAUUUCCCUGAUUUGGUGAAGUGCCUAUUUUUAUUGGUGUGCCUUUGGCAGAACAUAACAGAAUACUCAACUAAAAGAAGCUGAAGUGAUGAGAAACUUUUCAUUUGACAAGGGGUCUGGAGGUAGGACAGUUCCAGUUAGUUAAUUUGGACACAACCAGGUCUUUCCUCUUUGCCUCUUAGUAGACAUUCUUGAUGACUCUCCUCAGGGUUGCAAAAUGGCUGCCACAGCUCCAGACAAACCUGCAUGUGACACCCGGCGAGGAUGUGAUAAUUUCUUUCCUGUAGCGGGAGGAAAAGCUUUCUCAAGAGUCCCUAAGUUUCCCUUAGCCAGGAUUGGGUCAUCUGCACAUUCUAAACCAAUUCCAGAUAAGGAAUUUGGGGUUACCUGAUUAACUCAAAUCAAUCAGAUUCUCUCCUUGGAGCUAUGGAGGGAUCAUCUGGUUGAAAUUUGAGUUUAAAUAGCAGAGGAGGAGGAUAGGGUAUGACUCAGUGUGAUGGCCUCCAAGAUGGCCCCAGUGAUUCUACCUGCUGGCAUUCAUUCUCUUGCGUAGUCUUCUCUUACACUGGGCUGGUUGGUCUGUGUGACCAAUAGCAUAGCGCAGAGGUGAUGACAUCUCACUUCUAGGUUAGGUUAGAGAAAACUGUGAUUUCUCUCGUGGCUGCUCUAUUGGUCAUUUGCACACUCUUUCCUUCUCCUGGAUCACUGGCUCUAGGGAAGCCAUGUCAUGAACAGCCCUGUGUAGAGGCCCCCGUAACCACGAACUGAAGCCUCCAGCCAAUAGCCGCAUGAGUAUGCUCAGAGGAAGACGCCCCAAUCCCUUCAGAGACUGCAACCCCAUGAAAGGCCUUGACCCACCAGCUAAGCUGCUCCUGACCCUAAGGAUUCCUGACCCUUGGAAACCGUGAGAUAAUCAAUGUUUGUUGUUUUAGGCUGCGAAGUUUUGGGGGAAUUUGUUAUGUCAGUGAUAACUAACACAGCUGGGCUACCGCAGCACCCCCACCCAAGGGGUUCUCAUCCUAUGCCCUGUGAAUCACGGUCAGAGAAUCGUCUCCUAAUCUGUGUAUGUCUCCCCCAUCCCCCAUGUGCUUGUGAAAGCCUUGAUUCAUCACUUCCUUAUGCUCUGGAGUCUAGAGUGUGAGUAUGUGUGCAAAUGUAUGUGUGUGUGUGUGUGUGUGUGUGUGUGUGCAGUUGAGUAGCCUAUCUUCUCCUUCAAGGCUCCUUCCAAUUGGGCUCUCCCUGGACUCAGGAGUGGCUUGUUUCCUCUUUAUGUCCCCGGUCUGGCACGGGCCUGGGCACAGAGUGGCCUCAGAGAAUACGGAGGGGAUCCAUGAAAUUGACAGGAUGCCGGGCAAGCGAGAACCCACUUGGCUGCCAUGGCAACCACAGCACAGAAAACUCAGAGCAGCCUGGGCCCCCCUGAGGAGCUGGGAGGUUUGGCAGCAAUUCCUCUGUGAAGUGGUUUGGGGAGGUGGAAGGCAGUUUCCAUUGUCACCGUCUUGGAAAGAGGGUACUCAGAGCAUGGGGUGGGCUGGGGGAGGCAGAUGAGUGCCCUUGACUGCUCAGUGUGCUCCUAUAGGUACCAGGCCCUCUCACUUCCAUGUCCUCAGCCGUACCUCACCAUAACUCCUCCAAGUCUGCCUUGUGUUUACUGAAGACCUACUACGUGCUAGUCUCUUGGCUGAACGUUUUCUACCCAGCUCUGGUCUAUAAGCCUCACCAUGGAAGAUGCUGUGCCUUGUUGAUAACACAGUGCCUGGCACACAGUAGGCAUGUGAUACAUAUUUUGUGAAUGAACGAAUGAGCGAGUGAAUGAGUAAGUGAUUCUUGCUGACUCCUCACAUAGAAGAUAAAAGGUUAGUUAUGGGAAGAGUUAGGCAAAGGAAGGACAGAUGGAAGGAUGGGCAGAAUGGGAAGAAUAGUCCAGGAAUAGAAAAUAGCAUGUGCAAAGGUCCUGGGGUGAGAAAAAAGUUUGUGAUUGGACCCAUGCCUCCUCGCUCCAUAAAUAGCCCUUCUACCAUAUCCUAUGGUCCUCUGAGGUAAGUCCUUUUGUUACCACCACUCUCAAUUUGUAAAGAUCUUCCCAUUCCCUCCAAAAGGGUGAGGUCAUGGGGCGUAUGUGGUCUCCAGUUUGAAGGACAGGCUGCCUGGGUCUGGCUCUGCCACUAAGUAGCUGUGCUUACCUGGGGUACUGGCCUCAGUCUCCUCAUCUGCUAAAUGGGGAUAAUAGCAGAACCUACCUCAUAAGAUUCUUCUGUCACUCAAUGAGCUUAUGGAUGUAAAGUACUUGGAAUAUGUCAGGUGCUAUCUUGUGGGGAACAGAGCUUUGCAGAGACAAACCCAAACUGGGUACUUAGGAGGGCAGUCCUUCUGGGGAGCAACCAAGACAAGAGAAGGAUUGACUACCCCCUGCUGGAAGUGGAACAUGCAGUUAGGCCCAUCUGAGGCUCCCUCUUGUGCCUGAGCCCCCCCACUCCUUUGCACUAAUCAGAAAGGACCUUUGAUGCAAAGGAUUUGUCCUUGGCACGAGGCCCCUAGCUUCUGAGAGUUGGAGACAAUGUGCAGGGCCCAUUGUCUCCAUUUCCAGACAGUUCCAGACAAAACCAAGCGUGACUGCUUUAGAAGAGCACAGGAGUGAGACGAACCUACUAUUUUAAGGCAGUGGCGGGAGCUCUGGGUGUGCUGUGUGUAUCCUCUUGUCACAGCCUUGUCGGAGGAGCUGGAUCCAGCCUGAGAAGCCAGGCAGUCGGGACAGGGCCCCCCUCUGCUCGGCUGACUCACAAACAGACCUGGAGAAAGCCAAGGUUGAAGAGGAAAGCAACAUAGCAGGGGGACUCUCAACAAGGGCAGAGGAAAUGUUUAAAACCACAAGCUGUGCUACGGCCCUUAGACGUCAUCGAAGCUAAUGUCUGGGCUUUACAAACGAGGAAACUGAGGUGCAGAGGUGUGGGGGUGCAGGGUGAGAGGGGCAAGUUUCUUUUCUUUGCAAAUUGAUACAAGUUGUUUUGUUUUGUUUUAAAUAGCGCCGUAUUAAAUAGUUAAAUAAUGCACAGCACUUCAAUACUAUGGUCCUCUGUGGCAUUUAAAAAUAACAAAACAGAUUCGUGUGAGCAAGACUUGUUAACAGAAAAAAAAAGUUGCAGAAGAGUAUGUACAGCAUUAUUCACGGAGAAACAAAGCCAAACCAGGAUGACCUAUUUCAAUGCAUCCAUGUAUUGAAAGUUCCCAAGAAAGUCCUGGAAGGAUAAUCGUCAAGUUGAGUAGGAUGGCCACUUUCCACGGGGAAUGGAUGCGGAGUGCGGGGCAGACGGAACCUAAUUUCACUGAGAUUGUUUGAAUUUUUAAGAGAAUAUAUUCCUAUAUUUCUUGUCCAAUUAAAACACAGAAUACAAAAUAUUUUUCAUUAUUUAUUAUUUUUUUAACAUUAUUUUUGAGAGACAGAGCACAAGUGGGGGAGGGGCAGAGAGAGAAGGAGACACAGAA